GUUGCCCUAGAGAAAGUUUGUAUGAAAAAAGAGUUUCUAAGUUUCGGUGUGGCUCUCUUCGGCAUCAGUGGGCAUUUUUACUGUGUUUUACUGCUAUACGUUCCUAUAGAAAGGAUUACUCUCUAAAUUCCAUAAAAUUUGUAGAGAUCUAAAUUUAGCGUUGAGUGAAUGAAAUGAAGGAAUCGUUAUAGGUAUCAUUGGUACCGCUUAGUAAUCUCUUGAAAUGUGAGGCUUGUGGGGUGUUUUACAUAUUUGCCUCAGUGGUGAAAGACCCUUUUACUGAUCAGAAAAUAACUAAUUUUACUAAUUAGGAAACCAAAUGGGACAUCAAUUUUAUCCUGCUUUUAAAGAGGAAACAAGGAGCAGCGUUGCAAACUGUCCUAGGCACCCCCUUUCCAGCCAUAUAGAUGGGGUGGGAGCACACAGUUUUCCCUGCCCCGACUACCUGGAUCUCUGGUGAAUGGCACUACCACAGAGAGAAAUGCAGUGCUCAGGCUUUGUUUUACAAUUGGUUUAGAUGUUGGGGAUUCCUGCUGAGCCAAAUGGUUGCCUCUGGGAGAGGGACAUGGGCUGAGAGAGCCAGGUAGCAGGUCAAGGAAGCAGCAGCCUGAGCCAAUGUCUGUUUAAGGACUGGAAACUGAGCAAGUGCUGAGGACUGUUGUACACUCCCUGGGCUCUGCCUCUGGGUAAGCAAGUCUCAGGCUUCCUUUGGUUUUUUUUAAUGUUAAAGUUUAUUUCCCUCUUUCCUAGGUAAAUACUGUUGCUAGUAAUGUUUAUUUUUUCCAAAUUGAUAAUGUUCCAUGCAACUGUAACAGGGAGAUUGGAAGGUUGGUGACUGCUGGCUUUCUGUAAAAUGGAUUCCCAGAGUAUUGGCACUUAGUUCACUACUUAACUUUACUCCUGGCUGGAAAUUACAGGAGAUUCCCAGUGUCAGGAAGUUUGGAGAAUGUAGCUGUUUUAAAGGAACUCUACUUAAAGGUAGCUUUUUAUUCAUCAAAGGUAGCUGGUAGGUAGCCCAAUAAAAGACUCUUUACCAAACACACACAUAUACACACACACAAAACCAUAAAAAGUUAGCAUAUGAUAUUCUUAACAUUGUUUUUCUCAAUUUCCUACCAGGCUCAGUCCAGUUCAAGACGCUGGCAAACAGGGCUGCUGCUUGAAAGCUUUUCGAGGAGACGAGGUGUAUUUGAACAUGUGACGAUUGAUAUAUACAGAGUAGAGGUUUUCGCUUACUGUCCCUUUCAUGGUGGUAGCAGGGGAGGACUUUUGAAAAGGUGCCAAAUAUCUGCAAGAACAUAUAUCUGCCCCAUAGAGAAUCUCUGUAGAAUUCAACUCCACUUAAACUAUUUAAAAUCAUUCUUCUGCCAGCCAGCCCCAGCCUGCAGCUCAACCUAGUAACUAGACUAGCUAUUCUAUCAAUACAGCUAUCUUAAGAAAACUGUCAGCUGCUUGAAUUUACAAAGGUUAGUUCUAAAUCCCACACUUUUGACUAUUCAAAACAUUGUAUGUUUCAAAGUAUCCUUUUAAAAACUUGUUUUUUUGUGCUUACAGUUUUUCCUAUAAUAGAUUAUUUUGAUGAUUAAGUUUGACCCCUUUGACAGAUCAGUGGAUUCCUAAGGAUCAGGGAGGAGUUUGUUGCAUAGGGUUUGGUCGGGGGUGGGUGUUGAAGAACUGCUCUGCGCUUUGAUUAUGGUGCUGUUGGCCUUUGUCAAAUUUUGGAGUGAGUUUUACUGAAUGUAAAUUCAACUUCAAUAAACAUGGCUUUAAAAACUUA